rnacentral:rRNA from 1 species
GAGUUUGAUCGUGGCUCAGGAUGAACGCCGGCGGUGUGCCUAAUACAUGCAAGUCGUACGCACUGGCCCAACUGAUUGAUGGUGCUUGCACCUGAUUGACGAUGGAUCACCAGUGAGUGGCGGACGGGUGAGUAACACGUAGGUAACCUGCCCCGGAGCGGGGAUAACAUUUGGAAACAGAUGCUAAUACCGCAUAACAACAAAGGCCACAUGGCUUUUGUUUGAAAGAUGGCUUUGGCCAUCACUCUGGGAUGGACCCGCGGUGCAUUAGCUAGUUGGUAAGGUAACGGCUUACCAAGGCGAUGAUGCAUAGCCGAGUUGAGAGACUGAUCGGCCACAAUGGAACUGAGACACGGUCCAUACUCCUACGGGAGGCAGCAGUAGGGAAUCUUCCACAAUGGCGCAAGCCUGAUGGAGCGAACACCGCGUGAGUGAAGAAGGGUUUCGUCGUAAGCUCUGUGUUGAGAAGACGUGCGUGAGAGU